rnacentral:rRNA from 1 species
UUGGCUCCGGAGUCCAUCCUCCAUAUCUCCGCAUUCAUUAUCGUCUGCGAAGCCUUCCUCCGCGUCACUCCCCACUUCGGCAUGUGGCUGAAGACCUUCAAUGUGGAGCCGAAGAUGAUCGGGGGGCGUCAAGCGGAGUCCGGCGGGGCGGCCAUAAGCAAAAGGGCCGAUGCCCCGUGGCCCGAGGGUUCCUUCCAAGAGGAACUCGGACUGUGGCAGCAGGAGUGGUUCUAUAUCACCGCUCCGAAGGGCAGCAAGCAAAAGCCGCCGCCUUCAUUCCGCCCGGGACCUCCAUGCCGACUGAUGUCGUGGGUCAACCAAGGGCUCAAUUGGGGGCCGUCCGAAGAUGUGCCCUUAUUGCAGGGCCGGAUUCGAGACCUCCAGGCGAGGGAGGUCGAUCUGGUCGUGGUGAUGCAGGUUAUGCUAAUCAGGCGUCUUCUAUCCUGCAAACGCCGUCCUCUCCGUCUAUGGGAGUUCAAUCCGGAGGGACCUCGAGUUCUCCAACACUUCAUGGGUGCGACACCCGAAGAGAUGUACAAGUUGUUCUUCGGACCACAGGUGACAUGUCCGGAAAUGGCCGAGGACGCAGGCCUAAGCCGCAAUCGCCCGGAUACUCAGGUAAAUAGCUCAAAGUCCGGACGUUCUGUUUAUCUGCUUUUCUAG